GCCAGGCAUGGCAGCCCAUGCCUGUAGUCCUUUCUGUUUGGGAGGCUGAGGUAGGAGGAUCACUUGAGCCCAGGAAUUCAGAGUUGCAGUGAACUAUGAUGGCUCUACUGCACUCCAGCCUGGGCAAUAAAGCAAGACCCUGUCUCUA
ensembl:misc_RNA Metazoa_SRP Metazoan signal recognition particle RNA